CGGGGGAUGACGGUACCGGAAGAAUAAGCACCGGCUAACUACGUGCCAGCAGCCGCGGUAAUACGUAGGGUGCGAGCGUUAAUCGGAAUUACUGGGCGUAAAGCGUGCGCAGGCGGUUUGCUAAGACCGAUGUGAAAUCCCCGGGCUCAACCUGGGAACUGCAUUGGUGACUGGCAGGCUAGAGUAUGGCAGAGGGGGGUAGAAUUCCACGUGUAGCAGUGAAAUGCGUAGAGAUGUGGAGGAAUACCGAUGGCGAAGGCAGCCCCCUGGGCCAAUACUGACGCUCAUGCACGAAAGCGUGGGGAGCAAACAGGAUUAGAUACCCUGGUAGUCCACGCCCUAAACGAUGUCAACUAGUUGUUGGGGAUUCAUUUCCUUAGUAACGUAGCUAACGCGUGAAGUUGACCGCCUGGGGAGUACGGUCGCAAGAUUAAAACUCAAAGGAAUUGACGGGGACCCGCACAAGCGGUGGAUGAUGUGGAUUAAUUCGAUGCAACGCGAAAAACCUUACCUACCCUUGACAUGGUCGGAAUCCUGCUGAGAGG
rnacentral:rRNA from 2 species